GCCGGCGUAGCUCAAUUGGUAGAGCAACUGAUUUGUAAUCAGUAGGUUGCGGGUUCGAGUCCCAUCGCCGGCUCCA
rnacentral:tRNA from 7 species